CCUANGGGAGGCAGCAGUGGGGAAUAUUGCGCAAUGGGGGAAACCCUGACGCAGCGACGCCGCGUGGAGGAUGAAGGCCUUCGGGUUGUAAACUCCUUUUGUAGGGGAAGAUAAUGACGGUACCCUGCGAAUAAGCCACGGCUAACUCUGUGCCAGCAGCCGCGGUAAGACAGAGGUGGCGAGCGUUGUUCGGAAUUACUGGGCUUAAAGGGCGAGUAGGCGGUGGAGCAAGUCUGAGGUGGAAGCCUACGGCUUAACCGUAGAACUGCCUUAGAAACUGUUUUACUUGAGUCAGUGAGGGGAGGGCGGAAUUCCUGGUGUAGCGGUGAAAUGCGUAGAUAUCAGGAGGAAGGCCUGUGGCGAAAGUGGCCCUCUGGCACUGUACUGACGCUGAGGCGCGAAAGCGUGGGGAGCAAACAGGAUUAGAUACCCCANUANUC
rnacentral:rRNA from 1 species